rnacentral:sRNA from 1 species
UUCAGUCUCCGCUAUCAUUCAGCCUUGUGAAGUCGGCAAACCAAUAAUAUUAUUCCAAAAGUAUUUAUUCAAAAAAAAUAUUGAGUGAUUUUGUGAUUAAUUUUCGGCAAUGAAAUUUGUAUCCAAAACUAAAAUGAUGUUAUUUAAAGAGAACGAUUUCGAUCAUGAAGACGUGGAGCGCGAAGCGGAAAAUAUCCGCGAAAAAAAACGCAGACUGAACGAAAGACUAAGGCUCUGGAAAAUAAAAAGACGGGAGAUAAUGAGAAACUUCCAACGUAGGCUCGGCGCAGCUAUGAAGCUGCAACACAAAUUAAUGGUUACCAUGGAAGAGAUGAAGCAAUAUUUCCUUGUUUUCUUUCCCUGGCUCCUUGGCGCCAGCUUGGCGGAUCUGGCUCAGUUUCAGGAACUGCAAGACACUUUAAACAAUCUAAUGAGGGAUAAUAAUAGGAACAUCUGCAAAAUUGAGAAGACCUUGGAAGAAAUUACACUUCAAAGCGAUGACAAUUUAGGGAUAAACAUAAUAUAAGAUUUCAUGAACAAAUCGUGAGAAUUCGUAAAUAUUGUUUGACACAUCGGGCGGCAUUUUAUGAAAAGAUUGUGGAAUGUAGGAGGCGUCAGAGGCAACCAUUGCCUUUGGAGGCUCUUCCAGAGACAAAGACUGGAGGAUAGAUAGUCAAACAGUUGGCAAUUUAAAUUCCACACCCUUCAAGUCAAAUAAAUAUACUUAUAAUCUACUUGUUUGGAUAUCCAUGCUAGAAACAUUAUCAAACUUCAAAAUGAAUAUAUGAGAGGCCCUUAUAAUUUCUACAAAACACAUUUAGAAACAUACAUAUUAAUAUCAGAAUAUUCUUACAUUCGAAAUGAUCAUGGGAGUGAGUUUGACGGAAUUGCGCCCAAGGGGGUGCCGCAGCAUACACACAGGACAUAGGACACUGGACAUAGGCACGACUUAAUGGGGGAAGUCCUGCAUAUGACUGUUCCCUCUGCGCCCGUUUUGGGUGUGACGAAAAAGGACUCCAGGGCAUUUGGAGCAGCCGCCCUCAGUAUACAAUUUUUUGAUGGCCUAACAAAAAUUGAUAUCACAUUUGAAUAUGACGAAGGACAGUCUUAAUGGGUUUACCUUUAAUAUUUUAAUUUUGUAUUUUAACUUACGUCUUUCUGUUUUUUAAAAAAAUAAAAGAUUUGUCACUAAUCAACUAUUUGAAAUGAAA